CCUACGGGAGGCAGCAGUGGGGAAUAUUGGGCAAUGGAGGAAACUCUGACCCAGCAACGCCGCGUGAAUGAUGAAGGUCUUCGGAUUGUAAAGUUCUUUUCUAAGGGAAGAAGAAAGUGACGGUACCUUAGGAAUAAGCCUCGGCUAACUACGUGCCAGCAGCCGCGGUAAUACGUAGGAGGCAAGCGUUAUCCGGAAUGACUGGGCGUAAAGGGGGCGUAGGUGGUUUGACAAGUUAGUAGCGUAACUCCGGGGCUCAACCUCGGCACUACUACCAAAACUGUCGUACUUGAGUGCAGGAGGGGCAAAUGGAAUUCCUAGUGUAGCGGUGGAAUGCGUAGAUAUUAGGAGGAACACCAGUGGCGAAGGCGAUUUGCUGGACUGUAACUGACACUGAGGCACGAAAGCGUGGGGAGCAAACAGGAUUAGAUACCCGUGUAGUC
rnacentral:rRNA from 1 species